AGAGAGCGGAAGGGUUAAGAAAAUCAUUGCAUGGCCCCUUCAAGUUCACUUCUUAGUAGCAUCUGUAGGCAUGGAGCAAAAGGAUUUGAAGUGGUAAAUGUAUCACAAAAUAUUUAAAAAUAGUCUUUGUCAGUAUAUUUACUGACAAUAGUUUCUUUUUGGAAAAGAAAAACUCAGAUUCAGUCACUUUUGCCCACAAUUAAUUCAAAUAUUGACCAUUUAGAAAAAAGAAAAACAGUAACCAAAUACAGAACCUGAGACAUGUGUGCAUAAAACAUCACGCCCAAAAGAACUAUCCUGCCCAGCCUAAUACAAAGAGAUGGGAAACAGGACUAUGCACACUCUUUAGAAACACAAAUCAUGAAAUUGAUGCUUUAGGGUUUAAGGUGCAACAGGAAGUUUGGCUUUGUCAUGGCUGCAGUCCUCCCUCAUCCACACAUUCUGUGAGGGUGCUAAUCAGGUGAUAAGUGACACCUGUUUACCCCCCUUUAUUAGGAGCUGUUGCCCUGCAGUUUCUGUCAGUUUUUCCUCAAACCUUCAUUGCAACAACCCUGUUCAUGAGAGCCUUUGGAGCUGACCUGUGAAUUUGUCUCUGAGAAACCCCUGCACUGGAACUUCCCCCAAGUCUGGCCUCAGCACAAUUGCCUCUUGGCAUUUCCUCUUCCUACCUUAACACCCUGAAGGAAAUUCUCCCGCACCAUCCUCAACAUCAGUCUUCUAUUGUGAACUUCCUCUACCUCUACGUUGGCUCCUUCUGUUGAUCACUGUUGUGUUUUCAAUGCCAAUGUCUGUGCGCCCCCUGCUGACUGAAGGCUGUCUCUCCAGAGUUCCUUGUCCUGCCUGAGCUGAAUAAACUUUUCAUUUAU